rnacentral:misc_RNA from 1 species
AAAGUCGUAACAAGGUUUCCGUAGGUGAACCUGCGGAAGGAUCAUUAAAAAUACCUCGACCAAAUACGUAAGGUCUGAGGAUUAUACCUUUAGUCGACAUGUUCCUAACCCUCCGGGGAAAGCUUCGCGUUGAUUAAUGUGUUCACCCUUUGUGAAACUUCUAUCUUUGCUUCGGCAGCAUCUUACGGGGUAACCGUCAGGAUAAGGCUGUCAGAAGCUUACAACAAAACCAGUUGAUAAAACAUCUGUCUGAUAUUUUGCAAUUUGAGAAAUCAAAUGCUAUUAAAACUUUCAGCAACGGAUCUCUUGGUUCCC